rnacentral:lncRNA from 1 species
AAUAAUCAAACAUAUUAAUCAAAAAAUUAAAAUAUAAUUAAAUAAAUUCAAUUUAAAAUUAAAUUAAAUCCAAACACGAUAAAAUAACGUUGUAGAUCCAAAAGGCCUAAAAAGUCUUAAUGAAAACCAACAAGAGCCUAAAGAGUAGACUGAAAUUUGAGGCUAGAGAAAGUAAUGUUUUCUCUUACCUGUUUGGAGCUCGAGAAAAUCGAAGAAACAGCCUGGGUUUGAGGAGGUACUGGAAUUGUACGUCGUGGCAAAUCCUUGACACUGUAUCGAUGGUAUUUUUCUGGGCUUUGAUUUAUACAUCUCUCUGCAUUGGUUUCAACUGUGAUUAAAAUGGAGAAGGGGAGGGAAAAGGAGCUUUAACUUACAAGCAGAAGUCAUGGAACAGCCUGGGACGCAAAUAAAAUCGCCCAAAUCAGAGAAGCGAACAGUCUAGGAGCAGAGUGAGAAGAAGAUAUUAAAGAUCUCUGUUUCAGCAAAGCUGGGCUUCCAUGAUGAAAACUUUCCUAAUUUCGAGCACUGAAACUCUACCGCAAGACCAUUCACUUCUCUGAUUGGGCAAAUUCUCAACUGUUCCAUGAUGUUCAUUUCUAUUACCAGCUCUGCAAAUUCAGGGAUUCAUUCGAAGUCAAAAAAAAUUUAACGAGUUUAAGACGACAUAUUUUCGUUCGAGAAAGCGCGAGCUGAAAUUCUCCAUUUCUCUUCUUCCAAGUCUUCGUUGAAAACGACAACUGAGGCUCGCGAGGAUCGUGAAGCUUUCGCUCGAAAGUGGCGAGGGUCGGGCGAUCAAGAAAAGACAAGAUAGUACUAAGACUUUGGUUAAAUGUUACAUAAUUCUUCACAUUAGAAAAAGAGGAUUGCCAGCUGCAACCG